rnacentral:rRNA from 1 species
CGGGGUGGAGUAAUGCUUGGGAAUCUAGCUUAUGGAGGGGGAUAACUACGGGAAACUGUAGCUAAUACCGCGUAGAAUCGAGAGAUGAAAGUGUGGGACCUUCGGGCCACGUGCCAUAGGAUGAGCCCAAGUGGGAUUAGGUAGUUGGUGAGGUAAAGGCUCACCAAGCCGACGAUCUCUAGCUGGUCUGAGAGGAUGACCAGCCACACUGGGACUGAGACACGGCCCAG